AAGCCGUGGUGUGGGCAUUGGUUAGUGUAGCUUCUAAACCGUUCCCAAGCUUCACUAAAGCUCUCGUUAUUGUGCUGCAUGAAACUUGAGAUCUGAUUCCUGAGCUU
rfam:Eutrema salsugineum unplaced genomic scaffold scaffold_14, whole genome shotgun sequence.